rnacentral:rRNA from 1 species
CAAACUGGGAUUAGAUACCCCACUAUGCUUAGCCCUAAACUUAGGUAUUUAAUCUAACAAAAAUACCCGCCAGAGAACUACUAGCAAUAGCUUAAAACUCAAAGGACUUGGCGGUGCUUUAUAUCCCUCUAGAGGAGCCUGUUCU